AUGGGAGUGGGUUGCAAAAGAAGUAGGUAGCUUAACCUUCGGAGGGCGCUUACCACUUUGUGAUUCAUGACUGGGGUGAAGUCGUAACAAGGUAACCGUAGGGGAACCUGCGGUUGGAUCACCUCCUUACCUUAAAGAA
rnacentral:rRNA from 1 species